CUGACAUCAGCUCCGCCAGCCCUCGCCCCCAAACUCCGCUCCCCCGGGGCUGCCGGCUGGGCCCGGCUCCCGGGAGAACGCCGGGGAGAAUGGCCCCGUGGGGAAUAAAAACAUCCUGCUGCCUCGUCUUGGAGAAGCCGGAGGGGCAGCUCGCAAGAAGGCAGGCUGCAGGGAGGAUUUCAAGCCUUUUUUUUUUUUUUUUCUGUCUGCUUUAGACCAUGUGGACACUGAAAAUUCCGCUUCCACACAGACAGAAAUGCCUCUGCUGUCCUCCCCAACCACGCAGUUAUUAACUAGUUCACUAAUUGCGAUGCUUAUUAUUCCCAGUGAAAGAAUAUGAGUUGCUGUUGAAGGAUCCCUGUGUCAACAAACCUUAUGCAAGAGGAUAAGUGUAGCGAUUCCCCUUGAAUCUCCAGUUAUUUUUAAGUCUUGUGGCUCAAUCAGCCUGUGUUUGUCAGCACCAUCAUUCUGCUGCAGAACUAGCAAAGACUGUAUUGAACUAUCUAAACAGGAGUACCAUCUACUGGGCUCAGAAAGCAAUCCUUCUGACCUGCUCUGCACUGCUACGUCCUCAGGUGACAGUAUGGAAGGAAGGCAAGGCACAAACUGAACAUGUAGAUUGUUCCUCAUUCUGAUUUCCUCUGAGUUGCUUAAGUUAAAGUCAAAUAUUCCCUGGACCAUGUCUUCCUUGUGUGUAGGAGUUAUUCAACCUACUGAGAGUGGAUUUCAGUCUUCAAAGUAACAAC